rnacentral:rRNA from 1 species
GAAUUCACUAGUGAUUAGAGUUUGAUCCUGGCUCAGGAUGAACGCUGGCGGUCUGCUUAACACAUGCAAGUCGAACGGGACCUUCGGGUCUAGUGGCGGACGGGUGAGUAAAGCGUGAGAAUCUGCCUCCAGGUCGGGGACAACAGUGGGAAACUGCUGCUAAUCCCGGAUGAGCCUAAGGGUAAAAGAUUUAUUGCCUGGAGAGGAGCUCGCGUCCGAUUAGCUAGUUGGUGAGGUAAGAGCUCACCAAGGCAACGAUCGGUAGCUGGUCUGAGAGGACGAUCAGCCACACUGGGACUGAGACACGGCCCAGACUCCUACGGGAGGCAGCAGUGGGGAAUUUUCCGCAAUGGGCGAAAGCCUGACGGAGCAAGACCGCGUGCGGGAGGAAGGCCCUUGGGUCGUAAACCGCUUUUCUUAGGGAAGAAGCUCUGACGGUACCUAAGGAAUCAGCCUCGGCUAACUCCGUGCCAGCAGCCGCGGUAAUACGGAGGAGGCAAGCGUUAUCCGAAAUUAUUGGGCGUAAAGCGUCCGCAGGCGGCUUCUCAAGUCUGCUGUCAAAGACCAGAGCUCAACUCUGGGCCGGCAGUGGAAACUGAGAAGCUAGAGUACAGUAGGGGUAGAGGGAAUUCCCAGUGUAGCGGUGAAAUGCGUAGAGAUUGGGAAGAACACCGGUGGCGAAAGCGCUCUACUGGGCUGUAACUGACGCUGAGGGACGAAAGCUAGGGUAGCGAAAGGGAUUAGAUACCCCUGUAGUCCUAGCUGUAAACGAUGAG